GGCUCUGUGGUGCAAUGGAUAGCGCAUUGGACUUCUAGGCUGUGAGCUGAGCCAUUCAAAGGUUGUGGGUUCGAGUCCCACCAGAGUUC
rnacentral:tRNA from 1 species